rnacentral:rRNA from 1 species
AUUGAACGCUGGCGGCAGGCCUAACACAUGCAAGUCGAGCGGACGAAGGGAGCUUGCUCCUGGAUUCAGCGGCGGACGGGCGAGUAAUGCCUAGGAAUCUGCCUGGUCUUUGGGGAUAACGUCCGUAAACGGGCGCUAAUACCGCAUACGUUCUGAGGGAGAAAGUGGGGGAUCUUCGGACCUCACGCUAUCAGAUGAGCCUAGGUCGGAUUAGCUAGUUGGUGGGGUAAAGGCCUACCAAGGCGACGAUCCGUAACUGGUCUGAGAGGAUGAUCAGUCACACUGGAACUGAGACACGGUCCAGACUCCUACGGGAGGCAGCAGUGGGGAAUAUUGGACAAUGGGCGAAAGCCUGAUCCAGCCAUGCCGCGUGUGUGAAGAAGGUCUUCGGAUUGUAAAGCACUUUAAGUUGGGAGGAAGGGCAGUAAGUUAAUACCUUGCUGUUUUGACGUUACCAACAGAAUAAGCACCGGCUAACUUCGUG